AUCUCCAACAUAAGAAGGCAGGACUUGCUUCUGUGAGGUACUGAGCCACCCGUCCCUGGAGGAAAGCAAGAACAGAGCAGAUCAGAGCCCAGGCAGACAUCUUGGAUGAUGGGGUACAUCUUGCCAUCCAGAGGCAAUGCUGGAGCGGGCAGUUGUCUGCGGGGAGGCCCUGGCUCACUCUGGGCCAAAUAACAGGACUGAUUGCAGCCUGCGAUGAAACAUCCUGUUUCUCCCAACCAGAAACAGGUAGAGGAGCUGCUUUAGGAUGGAAGAUGAGGCUUGCUUUUUCUUUCUCCUAGAAGUCAGCAUUUUACAUGAUUCUGGGAGGGAAGAAAGGAGACAGGAACCAAGGAGCCUGAGUGGGGAUUUGCCCACCACUGGGCAGCCAGGCUCCCGUCAGGAAGGCUUUUCAGAGGGAGUGUUGGAAGGAGUCGUCGAGGAGUCUUCCUCACCCAGGAAGUCUUCCUCACCGGGUGAGCCCCAACCUGCUGGACCUGCUCAGAAUUUGCCCAACAGGGGAUCCUGGUUGACUGAGGUCUGCUAAUUCCAACUGGCCUACGCUAAAUUCUCCCAGAAUGUCUUCAUCAUCAAUGAAUCGCUUUCCACUGACACGACGCCUGGAAGAACAUAAACACUGUGAGGAUAAAUGCCAAUGAAAUAAUAAUAAAAUAAACUUUCUUUGGUGGCCAGAGGGAAAAA
rnacentral:lncRNA from 1 species